GACAGAGGGUGCAAACGUUGUUCGGAAUUACUGGGCGUAAAGCGAGUGUAGGCGGUCUCAUAAGUCGGGUGUGAAAGCCCUGGGCUCAACCCAGGAAGUGCACUCGAAACUGCGAGGCUAGAGUAUCGGAGAGGUUGGUGGAAUUCUCGGUGUAGAGGUGAAAUUCGUAGAGAUCGGGUGGAACACCAGUGGCGAAGGCGCUAUCUGGCUGACAACUGACGCUGAGACUCGAAAGCAUGGGGAGCAAACAGG
rnacentral:rRNA from 1 species